AGCAGUCGCCGCGGGAAUACGUAGGGUGCAAGCGUUAAUCGGAAUUACUGGGCGUAAAGCGUGCGCAGGCGGUUCGUUAAGACAGAUGUGAAAUCCCCGGGCUUAACCUGGGAACUGCAUUUGUGACUGGCGGGCUAGAGUAUGGCAGAGGGGGGUAGAAUUCCACGUGUAGUAGUGAAAUGCGUAGAGAUGUGGAGGAAUACCGAUGGCGAAGGCAGCCCCCUGGGCCAAUACUGACGCUCAUGCAUGAAAGCGUGGGGAGCAAACAGGAUUAGAUACCCGAGUAGUCCCUGUCUCUUAUAU
rnacentral:rRNA from 1 species